rnacentral:rRNA from 1 species
AUGUCUGAUGACUACAGCCGAUCACACACGCGCUCAAAGGCAGUGGAGCAGAUUGUGUUGCUUGACAUCAGGGACAUGCUAUAGUCCAUGGGCAAAGACAUAGUGUUGUUCCCUCUUCCGAACAUCGACGAGACCUAUGACACUACUGGAGGCGAGGCCAGAGAAGUCAUCAAGGAAUCCUCCAUCGUGGUUGUCGCGAACAACGUUGCGUUAGCGUCCUCGCUAAACCCUGAGCAGAAGCUUGCAUACGACGAGAUACUGGCAGCAGUCGAUGCUGGUAAUGGGGGUGUAUUCUUUGUCGAUGGCCCGGGAGGCACUGGGAAGACCUUCCUAUACAAGGCACUGCUUGCAAAGGUUCGAGGCGAGGGCAAGAUCGCGGUGGCUACGGCGACAUCAGGCGUUGCGGCUUCCAUCAUGCCUGGAGGAAGGACAACCCACUCGAGGUUCAAGAUCCCACUCAGCAUUGAAGAUGGUGGGUCAUGCAGCUUCACCAAGCAAAGUGGAACGGCCAAGCUCCUGCACAUGGCUUCACUCAUCCUAUGGGAUGAGGCCACCAUGACGAAGCGGCAAGCAGUUGAGGCACUGGAUAAUAGCAUGCGGGACAUCAUGGGACGACGGGACCGACCAUUCGGGGGAAAGACUGCCGUAUUCGGUGGGGACUUCAGGCGGGUGCUUCCGGUUGUCAGGAAGGGGUCAGAUAAUCGAUGCGACCUUGCGGAGUUCGUACCUAUGGAACGGCAUGCGCCAACUAAGGCUCAUCACCAACAUGAGGGCGCAUAA